rnacentral:rRNA from 1 species
AUUGCACGCUGGCGGCAGGCCUAACACAUGCAAGUCGAACGGAGCGGCGGACGGGUGAGUAAUGCCUAGGACUAUGACUGGCAGAGGGGGAUAACGUCCGGAAACGGGAGCUAAUACCGCCUACUAUCAGAUUAGCCUAGGUCGGAUUAGCUAGUUGGUGGGGUACAGGCCUACCAAGGCGACGAUCCGUAACUGGUCUGAGAGGAUGGUCAGUCACACUGGAACUGAGACACGGUCCAGACUCCUACGGAAGGCAGCAGUGGGGAAUAUUGGACAAGGGGCGAAAGCCUGAUCCGGCCAUGCCGCUUGUGUGAAGAAGGUCUGCGGAUUGUAUAGCACUUUCAGCGGGGAGGCGUUACCCGCAGAAGAAGCACCGGCUAACUCCGUGCCAGCAGCCGCGGUAAUAC